GCCAGUCAAGUCCUUGAGAUUAAAAAAACACAGCACGCUUUGUACUGGUGCAGGGGGCAUGGCCAGUGUACAGGAACUACCUCCAUUGUGAGCGUGAACAGUGCUUUUCUUGGCUUGACCCGUCUGUAGCUGGCCUCUACAGAUCAAAGAGCAGGUGCCGAGACUACGGCUCAGAAGGCUACUGAACAUUGUGUUGUGAGCAGGCCUUGGCUGACCUUUCGGCACUGUGGACAGGACAAACACAGCAAGUCAAGGUUUUCCCUGGAACCCCGGGCGGCUUCCUGUCACCUAGGUUGUGCAAUGGAAGAUUGAGAAAUGUGGGGAAGGCUGGCUCAGACAAAGCUGCCACCUGCCACCGCCACUUCUGGGAAGAAACUGGCUUAGCUUCAGGGCGUUUACUGGCCAGGUCACGGGGACCCAGGCAUCAACGAGACCAAGUGGUGAACAUACUCGUCUCCCGCUCCAGCCCUUCCUGCUGGCUCUCGUGUCUCCCGGGUCAUGUUUACAAAGCCACAGAGAGGCUGCUGACACUGUCAGAGUUCUGAGUCUCAGGCCAACCUGUCCUGCCGUCCCAGCUCUGCCAUCUGCCACCUGCACAGCUCGGCUCCCGGGUCCCGUUGCAGCUUGGAUCUACCCGUCCCAGUCUCUGUUCUGAGUGAAACCAUAACUUCUGUUUCAUGGUGCCCAAGCCCCUCUGCUGCUGCUGCCACCGGAAGGGAGCCACCGGCACUUCCUGCCACGUGGAUGAGCAAGGCUUGUUUUUCCCUAGAUGCAGCCUUGGACCCAGAGCCACGCUGAUGCCUGGACACUGAGGCCUGGAGUAGGAGGUCUACAGAUGGCACAGCACACAGAAGGGUCUCAACCUGAGGAAGCAGUAACUUCAGGUUUCCGCCGGCACCUCUUCCAGGCAGGUGUUAUGAGUUCUCUCAGAUGGAGUGUUCCUCACGAGAGCCAAAAGGGGGGCACAGCCAGGGUCUCCCAACUGAAGAACGGAUAACUUGCAAUCUGUCCAUACUGUGUGCAGUCAGCCUCCACGAGAGCCAUCUUGAAUUGUAUGCAUCACAGCUGCUUUUGGGUAACCCACCUCUGUUUUCCUUGCCUAGUUUCUCAGCCAACUAUAAAUAGGUAAAACAUGAGCA